AGAGAAUGUCAAAAUGUAGCAAGGGCUGAGAGAGGGACAAAUCAAGUCAAAGUCAAACAGAAAGAGAGAGGGGGGGGGAACAGGAGAGAGAGAGAAGUCACAGAAGUGAACGGUGGGGGAUCUUGGGUAAAGGAGGUGACCGUAUUCUAGCCCCACCACCUUUCCUGUGCCAGAAAUGCCAACUGUAACAACAAAAAGUGGCAGAUGCCAAGGGAAUCCCAGACGACUGACCUCUGUGAAGUCGGCCUACCAAAGAGAAGCUAAUAUUUACCCUGCGUGUUUGAAUCUGUGGAGCGGUGCCAUGACUGCCCUCCGAGUGCAUACCGGGCCAAUAGGCUUACGUUUCUUCCAGCCUUUUCUCCGUGGGAUCGAGCGCAUCAUACACCCUACGUGCCGCCAGCUAGUGCCAAGUGGAUUUUCGACCAUCGUGUGCGGAGUAUGUUUAGGAAAUUGCGUUUGAUUGUAAAUUGUGAAUUGUGCUCUUUAAAAAAUAACCUUAACAUGUGAUCCUAACAUCUUGUCAUUGCCUAUCUGAACUUUACAAUAUAUAUUUUUAGUAAACCAAUUUAAUAUUAUUCCAUUCAGGUCCUGAACAUUGUCUCUAAGCUCAGUCUCUAUGUCUCCUUACUUCAAAGUGUAUUUUGGUGGGAAUGAUCUGAAGAAUGUGAACAGUCUCUGAUAACCAACAGAGCAGUCUGGAUCAGUGGAAAAGGCCACCAAAUGAGAUCUCCUGGGCAUCAAAUACACACAAUGCAUAAAAUAUGUGCCUAUCGUAUUAAUGUGUAGUUCUAUUCUUGUGUUGGGGUGAAUAGAUUUUACUACAGUAUGUGUUUGACUGAAAUAUGCUGACAUUUAGACAUGAAAAGUACGGUUUGCUUGUCUGUCGCCACAGCACGAGAUGAGCAAUUGUGGAAUUUAACAUGAAAAAAUUAUAUUGGU